rnacentral:rRNA from 1 species
GCAUAUCAAUAAGCGGAGGAAAAGAAACCAACAGGGAAUUGCCCUAGUAACGGCGAGUGAAGCGGCAACAGCUCAAAUUUGAAAUCUGGCGCAAGCCCGAGUUGUAAUUUGUAGAGGAUGCUUCUGGGUAGCGACCGGUCUAAGUUCCUUGGAACAGGACGUCAUAGAGGGUGAGAAUCCCGUAUGUGACCGGCCCGCACCCUUUACGUAGCUCCUUCGACGAGUCGAGUUGUUUGGGAAUGCAGCUCUAAAUGGGAGGUAAAUUUCUUCUAAAGCUAAAUACCGGCCAGAGACCGAUAGCGCACAAGUAGAGUGAUCGAAAGAUGAAAAGUACUUUGGAAAGAGAGUUAAAAAGCACGUGAAAUUGUUGAAAGGGAAGCGCCUGCAAUCAGACUUCGCGGCAGUGUUCCGCCGGUCUUCUGACCGGUUUAUUCUCUGUCGCGAGGCCAUCAUCGUCUCGGCCCGCUGGAUAAGACCUUGGGAAUGUAGCUCACCUUCGGGGGAGUGUUAUAGCUCAUGGUGAUGCAGCGAGGCUGGGGCGAGGUCCGCGCUUCGGCAAGGAUGAUGGCGUAAUGGUUGUCGGCGGCCCGUCUUGAAACACGGACCAAGGAGUCUAACAUCUAUGCGAGUGUUCGGGUGUCAAACCCCUACGCGUAAUGAAAGUGAACGGAGGUGGGAACCGCAAGGUGCACCAUCGACCGAUCCUGAUGUCCUCGGAUGGAUUUGAGUAAGAGCAUAGCUGUUGGGACCCGAAAGAUGGGUGAACUAUGCCUGAAUAGGGUGAAGCCAGAGGAAACUCUGGUGGAGGCUCGCAGCGGUUCUGACGUGCAAAUCGCUUCGUCAAAUUUGGGUAUAGGGGCGAAAGACUAAUCGAACUAUCUAGUAGCUGGUUCUGUGA